AAGUCGUAACAAGGUUUCCGUAGGUGAACCUGCGGAAGGAUCAUUAAUGAAUAAACUUGGUCAAGCUGUUGCUGGUCCUUCGGGGCAUGUGCACGCUUGCCACCAAUUUUAACCACCUGUGCACCUUUGUAGACUUGAAAAAUUUUUCUCGAGACAACUCGGAUUGAGGACUGCUGUGCGCCAGCCAGCUGUUCUUGUGUUUCUCAGUCUAUGUUUUCAUAAUACCCCAUUGUAUGUAUCAGAAUGUAUUGCUAGGCCUUUUAGUGCCUAUAAAUCAAAUACAACUUUCAACAACGGAUCUCUUGGCUCUC
rnacentral:misc_RNA from 1 species